CUCCUCCCGCCGCAGCCGGCGAAAAUAGCAACAGGCAGCGGGUCCCCGGCCCGGCGCGGGUGGAGAGGGACAGGCGGCCGCCAGAGGCGGCGGGCAGCCGGUGACAGGCGGGCGCCCAUGUCGCGACAGAGGGCCCCUCCAGCGGCGCCGCCCCGUGUGUCUGUCACAACCUGUCACAACCUGUCGUCUACCGCUGGAAACGUGUCGGUUGCCGCCUCGCCGUCGUGAGCCGCGGGGGAGGUUGCGAGCCUGCUGUGGAGCAGUGCAUGCCUCUAGUAAUCACCUUACGGAAGACGGUGAGCUGCAGACUCCAGACAGAUCCAUCACUUCAGCCAAGGCUCGUGCAUUCCCAGAUUACCAACCAAUGAUUUUAGGAAGACUUUUUUUACUGCCUCACUGUUGCCUUUCAAAAGGUGGUAAUGAAACAGCACCUAUUGGGUCUGCAAGAUGUGUUCCCCCCCAUUCUCAUGAUUCAACAUCCACACUUUCCUGAAGAUUGACCUCAAUAUAAAUGAUUGUGCACAGCCAAGAAAAACUGAUGUGACAGCCUCAGAAUGCAGGGACUACUUCUUUCCUUGUGUCCUCCGAUGACAACUCUAAAGGUAAGCCUGUAAGGUAAAAGCAGGUAUACAGUGUUCUUUGCUUACCAUCUUGGCUAACAAGGUAAGCUAAUAUUUACUGGGGAUGGAAUAGGAAAUUUGUUCCUUUGUGAUUAGUUUGCUAAAUUUGAUCUGUGCUUGGUCUGGCAACUAGGCAUUCUCCAUGGGAUACCAGAAGUAAUUCUGGGAAAGAAGUUUCUUUACCCAAGAAGUACUGGGGCUGUUAGAGCUACACUGAUACCCAAGACAAGCACUGAAAAUGUGGAAAACCCUUGUAUUAAAGUCAUCUGGUAACCUCCAAAUAACCCGCUCGGCCUCUGCAAGUGCAGACAACAGCAUGCAAUAAAACGGAAACUUUUGCUCUAAAUUAGACAUGCAGAGUUAUGCAUCAAGUCAUGGCAGCAUACAGUAUGACAGACUGGGGUACACAUUGAACUAAUUAUGCUUAGUUCAAUGAGGAAACAGAAAGGUGCUGUAUGUAGAUAUAUUAUCUUAAUAUGUUCAUGGUAUUCAAAGCAGUUUAGUACACUUAGUAUCUCUAACCUGGAAUAUGAUGUAUAGUCUCUCCAGCAAAUUCACUGGGAUUUUCCUGUUUAUUUACGCCAAAAUCCCCAAGAAAGAUCACCAUUUCUGAAACACUUGCCCCAAGUUUGUCAAAGUCUCACCACAGGCUUUCAGUAUUUCUUGUUAACAGAAGAACUUGCUUUGCAAAUCUAAACCUAUAUAAAGUUGCAUAGUACUAUGAGAUUACACACACAAAA